UUACUAAAGGUUUAGUAAAUAUGAUUAUACUUAUAAGAUUAAGUGUAAUUCUGAAUUGAUUGAAAAGGUUUAAAUCAAUAGCAGAACGAAUAAGAAGAAUCAAGUAGGCAGAAAGAUAAAAGUUUCUCCAUUCUAAGAAGAAGGGAGAGUACCUUUUAUGCUUUAUGAUAGGUCUUAAUGAUUAAGAACCAUAUCUCAAUUGAUCCUCUAAGUGAGUCUUAGUACAAUUGUAUGUCUAAGAAGAGGAAUCAAGAAUUGAAGAAAUGGUUAAAUCAAUAAGUCAAUCAUACUUCGUUCCAAUAACAAGUCUUAAAGUUAAGAUUGUGACAUUGAGUGAAAGGUAUUAAGAAGGUUUAUAACAUUCAUUAAAUGUGGAAAGUUGUGAUGUCUUGGAUAAGACAAAGACCAACUAGGACCAAUUUAUGAAGUGUUUUGAUAAAAGCUACACUAACUCUUGAAUAUUUGUUUGUCAAGAAAUGGUUAUUGACAAGAGAAUCUUAUAUGUCAAGGAGUCAGUGGGAGUCUUAAUGGUCUUGAAAGGUUUCAAGAACAAAUCAAAUAAACCUUAUCGAUCAUCACUAGCACACGAGUUGAGGUUUACAACCUAUCGUGUUGACAUUAUUUUGAUUCUGUGCCAAUCCAAUCGAGUUAAUUAUGCAUGUGAGUUCUAUGAGUUCUCAUUUUGAACGCAUAAAAGGCAAAGCACCUUAAUCAAUGAAAGGUACAUUGAUAGGAAAGGGUGAGCUGCUUAACUACUUGGAAGACAUGGUGGGCAGCUGUGCUACCAUAAGGCAAGAAAUCAAGAUUAAGAAAGUUCGGUCCAUAUGAGUUUGAAUUUGUCGUAAACUUUGGUUUUAACAAAUUCACAUGGAUAGGAACACAUACACCGUUUAAAUCUAAGUGUCAUAAGAUUUCCUCCUUCAUGAAAAUGAUUGUGAGGAAAUGCUUUCACUAAGAAAGAUUUUAAGAAGAUAGUGAUUGUAAAAUUGCAUUCUCGAAUUCAAUUAUGGUUACGGCAUCCCUUUCCAUAAUUUGAAUUGUGAGGUUUGGCAAUUAGUCUUAAUUGUUUAGACACACAUAUGAACUAUCGAAGGCAAAGGUGUAUAAGUUCAAGAAGCCUUGAUAAAAGAUUAUCAAAGCACUAAGUAUUAGAAACAUGAACUUAAGAAAUUCAAUAAGCAUUUUUUUUCUGAAAGUUAAGAUGUUUAUGAAUACAUGUCGAAGCUAGUGGGAGCAUAAGUGUUAUGUUUUAUAAUAAUCAUCAUGAUAGUGGGAGCAUAAAUGUUAUGAUUGUAUGAUUAUUAAGGAAAGUAUUGCAAGGUUAGCAAUAUUAAUUAUAGAAAACAAGAGUCAUACUUUGCAAAGUUGUAAGAGUUGAAAAGUUGUUUUGCUAUAAUUAAGGGAGAGAAUAUUAUGCUUCAUUUCAAAUCUAAAGGAUUAGGUUGAGAAAUGUUAAUAAAUUUAGUCAAAGGUACAUAGUGUGUUCUUAAAAUUUCGAUUAUGAUUACGGCAUCCCUCUUCACAAUUCGAAUUUUGAGAACAUAGCAAAUAAAACAUUAUGCGUCGUGUCCCAUACGCUUCGGGUAUAGGAUCGAUUGCAAAUGCUUUAAUGUUUGACCAUUCUAAAAUUUUCCAAAUGUCUAGCGCAUUUAGAGGGAAAAAGGACUAGAAUCGGUUUUGACUAAAAUAAUUAAACAACUAUCAAAGGACAAUCCAAAGUUCGACGAGGAUUGGUCGCUUGUGAGUAGUUGGAAGUAUAGUAUUGGAAAAUAUGGAAAUGUUUCCAUAUUGGAUGGACCAUAUCGACAUCAUUACGAAUAGAUAAGAUUCUAUUAAGAAUGAGUUGUCAUAUGGAACAUAUGGAAGUGUGUCCAUAUUGGGAAUUGAAUAUUGAGAAAUCUAUGACUAGAUUAGAAACUUCUAUGCAAAAGGAUGUUCAAAGAAUGUACUUUGAGUGAGAGACAUCACAUCUAUGGAAUUGUCUUGUAACAAUCUCCGAUAGAGGACUUUGUAAUAUCAUUGGCAAUAGUCUUUGUGACUUUGGUGCAGUGACAUUACGAAAGGAUAGUUGCAUAGAAUGUUAGAAUCUAGCAUAUUCUAUAAGUAGCAAGAAUUUGAUAUUCUUACACUUAUGAAAAAGGAUUUGGAGUUGUGAAAUGAGAAUGAUUGGAAAUGUGUUCAAUUUGAUCUAUUUCACAAAGUAAGAACCAUAGGUAAACAUUGUGUGCAUGCUAGGAGCAUGGGACAAGUGUAAUAAUUCAAGUAAGAAGUUGAUUACCCGAAACGACAAAUAAUGAGUAAUCGAUAUGGUGAUAAAUAAAAGGUGUUUUAUUUAUACUCAAAGGUUUGAGGCCAUAUGGGAUUAGUAUUAUUCUUGUGUUUCACAUUUGCAUGUUUUGACUUCCAGAAUAAUUGAGUUUAUUAAGAAUAAUCGAAUUAUUCGAACGGGCCACAGUCGUUCAUAUGUUGGAAGUAGAUAUGAAUGAAGACUGUCGUGAAUUGGUGUGUGGAUUGUCUAAAAGAGUAUUAGACAUAAGCAAAUGUUUGCUGCAACGUUCAUGAGUGCUUAUGAAUAUGAUUUGAGCAUUGGAUUAAACCCACGCUCACUUGGAUCACUCCAUGAAUUGUAUCACGAGUGAUUGGUGAGACGAUAACAUCUUAUAUUCUUGAAACCGAGAUGUGUGAGUUGUAUCUUGCAAAUCGGUUGCACAUUGAUAAUAUGUAAACGCACUAGUAACUUGGUGUUAUAAAACAUAUUGUUGUGUGUGAUUCGGUGAGUGAGUGCAAGCAAGCAUUGAAUCAAAGUUUAUCCGUUCCUUUUAUCCAAAGUAGGAUAAAAGCGAUAUCUUUGGGCCCCUCGAUGAUUUAGUGAUGACAAACGUAAAUGCUCGGCCGGGCUAGGGCUAAUUUGAUUUGUUCAAUUAGUCAGUCGUCAUAAAUCGGAAGUCGAGAAAUAGUACAAAGAGAAUGAUUUGAAAUCAUGUCUCAUACGAUAUCUAGAAUGGAGGAAUAUAUGAUCCCUUAUCUAAAGGACACGCGUAUCUGAUAGGAUCAGAGUUGACAGCGGCUUUGGAAAGCUACGAUUGCAGAUCAGGAUCUGAAGUCAUACGCAUAAUAGUUAUUAGACUUAUCCAAGUGGGAGACUGUUGGAUUAGUGUCUAAGUCCAUAACUAUUUUGGUAUGUACUUGACCCGAUGGUGCAUGGUCCUUUUGGGUUGCCUUCACCAAAGCAACUUGAUAGGAUGAAUUAUGGAGAGAAAGGAUUAAAUAUGAUUUAUUAAUAUAUUAUGAGAAUAAUAUAUUAAAGGAGAAAUCAUAUUGGUUAAUUAAUAUUAGUCAAGAAUUAAUUGGUAAUUAGUUUUGUGACUAAAAGAGAUUAAUUAAACUUAAGGGACUGGAAUUGUAAUUAUAAGAUAGUUUCAAUUGGGCCAUGGAUUGCCUUGUAUUAAGGAGUGGACGAAUUUUAUGGGGAAACCCAUGAGAAAAUCGUCCAAGGCCUUACGGAAAGGGAUCCAUGGGUUGCUUAGGGCUUAAGCAUCCAAAUUAGGGUUUCCUUGUUAGAUAACCCUAAUAGCCUCCUAUAUAUAUAGAUCCCUUAUGACCCAAAAACGUGGCUAAGCAUCCUUCUAGGGUUUCACACGUUUUAGGGCAGCCUCCAUCCUCUCUCCUCUUCAUCCUCUUGCUCUUGGUGUUUGUGAACCAUUAGAGGAGUGACAUUUGUGACUCUAAGCUUUCUAAAGUCAAUAGAAGAAGGAUUGGGAUUGUUAUUGCUACAUAACAAUCAAGGUAUGAUCUAAACCCUAAUUAUAUGUUAUAUUGAUUGUCAUAUGCUAGAUCUAGGGUUUAUAGUCUUGGAUAACUUGCAUGUACAAUAGAGAAACCUAGAUCCAAGCAUUAGGGUUUGUAUGAGCACAUAGAAUGUUCUUAUGACCAAAACCCAUCACGUUGAGGAUUACAGACGAUUGUCAGGGCCACGUAGAGGCGCCUGUAGCGAGAAGUAGGGCCUUUCAGUUGAUAGCAGAGGAGGCGCGAUCAGCUUCCGUUGUGGUGACGGGUAUGUAUCUUCUCGUUAUCUCUUUAUUUAUAUUGAUUAAUGCUUAUGUUUCUGUGUUUCAUUAUAUGAUCGUUCCUUGUGAACGAUAUAUCUGCUCUAGUAUUGUUUGAUUCGGGGGCUACCCGAUCGUUUGUGUCACUCGCACUCAACAAGCGAUUCGUAGGGGCUCCGGGGGAGCUGGAUUGCCUACUUGACGUGGAGAUAGCAGAUGAUAGGUCCGACAGGGUUGCGUGGUACACCGAGGAUGUACACUGCAGUUGUUCGAUGAGCGGUUUUCUGCGGAUUUGGUCCCUAUUCCCUUGCAAGGGAAUAAGGUUAUAGUUUGUAUGGACUGGUUGAUCCCCAAUGGGGUAAUCAUCGACUCCAAGCAGCAGCUAGUGAGAGUUCGGACUCCUAGUGGGGGAGGGUUAAUGAUUCAGGGCGAAAGGUCGCAGGGUAGACCGUGUGACAACCCGAUAUUUCAACUCUUUGUAACGACCAAAAUNNNNNNNNNNNNNNNNNNNNNNNNNNNNNNNNNNNNNNNNNNNNNNNNNNNNNNNNNNNNNNNNNNNNNNNNNNNNNNNNNNNNNNNNNNNNNNNNNNNNAGUCCACCAUAAGAGUAACAAAGAUAUUCGUCAUGUUUUGCUAAAAGUUUAGUAAAUAUGACUAUACUCAUAAGAUUAGGUGUAAUUAUGAAUUGAUUGAAAAAGUUUAAAUCAAUAGCAGAACGAAUAAGAAGAAUCAAGUAGGCAGAAAGAUAAAAGUGUCUCCAUUCUAAGAAGAAAGGAGAGUACCUUUUAUGCUUUCUGAUAAGUCUUAAUGAUUAAGAACCAUAUCUCAAUUGAUCCUCUAAGUGAAUCUUAGUACAAUUGUAUGUCUAAGAAGAGGAAUCAAUAAUUGCAGAAAUGGUUAAAUCAAGAAGUCAAUCAUACUUCAUUCCAAAACAAGUCUUAGAGUUAAGAUUGUGACAUUGAGUGAUAAGUAUUAAAAGGUUUAUAACAUUCAUCAAAUGUGGAAAGUUGUGAUGUCUUGGAUAAGACAAAGACCAACUCGAACCAAUUUAUGAAGUGUUUUGAUAAAAGCUACACUAACUCUUGAAUAUUUGGUUGUCAAGAAAUGUUUAUUGACAAGAGAAUCUUAUAUGUCAAGGAGUUAGUGGGAGUCUUAAUGGAUUUGAAAGGUUUCAAGAACAAAUCAAAUAAACCUUAAUUGAUCAUCACCAGCACACGAGUUGAGGUUUACAACCUAUCGUGUUGACACUAUUUUAUUUCUGUGUCAUUCCAGUUGAGUUAAUUAUGCAUGUGAGUCCUAUGAGUUCUCAUUUAAAUGCAUAAAAGGCAGGUACCUUGAUCAAUGAAAAUUACAUUGAUAGGAAAAGGUGAGCUGCUUAACUACUUGGAAGACAUGGUGGGCAGUUGUGCUACCAUAAGGCAAGAAAUCAAGAUUAAGAAAGUUCGAUCCAUGUGAGUUUUAAUUUGUCGUAAACUUUGGUUUUGACAAAUUCACAUGGAUAGGAACAAAUACACCGUUUAAAUCUAAGUGUCAUAAGAUUUCCUCCUUCAUGAAAAUGAUUGUGAGGAAAUACUUUCACUAAGAAAGAUUUUAAGAAGAUAGUGAUUGUAAAAUUGCAUUCUCGAAUUCGAUUAUGGUUACGGUAUCCCUUUCCAUAAUUUGAAUUGUGAGGUUUGGCAAUUGUUUACACACACAUAUGAACUAUCUAAGGCAAAGGUGUAUAAGUUCAAGAAGCCUUGAUAAAAGAUUAUCAAAGCACUAAGUAUUAGAAACAUGGNUUCUGAAAGUUAAGCUGUUUCUGAAUACAUGUCAAAGCUAGUGGGAGCAUAAGUGUUAUGUUUAUAAUAAUCAUCAUGAUAGUGGGAGCAUAAGUGUUAUGAUUGUAUGAUUAUUAAGGCAUGUAUUGCAAGUUGGCAAUAUUAAUUAUAGAAAACAAGAGUU
rnacentral:lncRNA from 1 species